AACGAACGCUGGCGGCAUGCCUAACACAUGCAAGUCGAACGAGAUCUUCGGGUCUAGUGGCGCACGGGUGCGUAACGCGUGGGAAUCUGCCCUUUGGUUCGGAAUAACAGUUGGAAACGACUGCUAAUACCGGAUGAUGACGAAAGUCCAAAGAUUUAUCGCCAGAGGAUGAGCCCGCGUAGGAUUAGCUAGUUGGUGUGGUAAAGGCGCACCAAGGCGACGAUCCUUAGCUGGUCUGAGAGGAUGAUCAGCCACACUGGGACUGAGACACGGCCCAGACUCCUGCGGGAGGCAGCAGUGGGGAAGAUUGGACGAUGGGCGAAAGCCUGAUCCAGCAAUGCCGCGUGAGUGAUGAAGGCCUUAGGGUUGUAAAGCUCUUUUACCCGGGAUGAUAAUGACAGUACCGGGAGAAUAAGCUCCGGCUAACUCCGUGCCAGCCGCCGCGGUAA
rnacentral:rRNA from 1 species